GGUUAAGUUAGAAAGGGCGCACGGUGGAUGCCUUGGCACUAGGAGCCGAUGAAGGACGGUACUAACACCGAUAUGCUUCGGGGAGCUGUAAGUAAGCUUUGAUCCGGAGAUUUCCGAAUGGGGGAACCCGCUGCUCGUAAUGGAGCAGGAUCCUUCUCUGAAUACAUAGGAGUUGGAAGGCAGACCCGGGGAACUGAAACAUCUUAGUACCCGGAGGAAGAGAAAGCAAACGCGAUUCCCCAAGUAGCGGCGAGCGAAACGGGACAUAGCCCAAACCAAGAGGCUUGCCUCUUGGGGUUGUAGGACACUCUAUACGGAGUUACAAAAGAGCGGAGUAAAUGAAGAGGUCUGGAAAGGCCCGUCAAAGAAGGUAACAACCCUGUAGUUGAAACUUCGUUCUCUCCUGAGUGGAUCCUGAGUACGGCGGGACACGUGAAAUCCCGUCGGAAGCUGGGAGGACCAUCUCCCAAGGCUAAAUACUCCCUAGUGACCGAUAGUGAACCAGUACCGUGAGGGAAAGGUGAAAAGCACCCCGGAAGGGGAGUGAAAGAGAUCCUGAAACCGUGUGCCUACAAGUAGUCAGAGCCCGUUAACGGGUGAUGGCGUGCCUUUUGUAGAAUGAACCGGCGAGUUACGAUCCCGUGCAAGGUUAAGUUGAAGAGACGGAGCCGCAGCGAAAGCGAGUCUGAAGAGGGCGAAAUAGUACGUGGUCGUAGACCCGAAACCAGGUGAUCUACCCAUGUCCAGGGUGAAGUUCAGGUAACACUGAAUGGAGGCCCGAACCCACGCACGUUGAAAAGUGCGGGGAUGAGGUGUGGGUAGCGGAGAAAUUCCAAUCGAACUUGGAGAUAGCUGGUUCUCUCCGAAAUAGCUUUAGGGCUAGCCUCAAGGUAAGAGUCUUGGAGGUAGAGCACUGAUUGGACUAGGGGCCCCCAUCGGGUUACCGAAUUCAGUCAAACUCCGAAUGCCAAAGACUUAUCCUUGGGAGUCAGACUGCGAGUGAUAAGAUCCGUAGUCGAAAGGGAAACAGCCCAGACCACCAGCUAAGGUCCCAAAGUAUACGUUAAGUGGAAAAGGAUGUGGAGUUGCUUAGACAACCAGGAUGUUGGCUUAGAAGCAGCCACCAUUUAAAGAGUGCGUAAUAGCUCACUGGUCGAGUGACUCUGCGCCGAAAAUGUACCGGGGCUAAACGUAUCACCGAAGCUGUGGACUGUUCUUACGAACAGUGGUAGGAGAGCGUUCUAAGGGCUGUGAAGCGGGACCGGAAGGACCCGUGGAGCGCUUAGAAGUGAGAAUGCCGGUAUGAGUAGCGAAAGAGGGGUGAGAAUCCCCUCCACCGAAUGCCUAAGGUUUCCUGAGGAAGGCUCGUCCGCUCAGGGUUAGUCGGGACCUAAGCCGAGGCCGAAAGGCGUAGGCGAUGGACAACAGGUUGAUAUUCCUGUACCACCUUUUUUCCAUUUGAGCAAUGGGGGGACGCAGGAGGAUAGGGUAAGCACGGCGCCGGAAUGCCGUGUCCAAGCAGUUAGGCU
rnacentral:rRNA from 1 species